GCCUGAGUGAUGUAGCGGUAGCACGCGUCCCCGGUAUGAAUGAAUCGCGGGUUCAACUCCCGCCUGAGGUC